rnacentral:rRNA from 1 species
UGGGGAAUAUUGGACAAUGGGGGGAACCCUGAUCCAGCCAUGCCGCGUGUGUGAAGAAGGCCUUAUGGUUGUAAAGCACUUUAAGCGAGGAGGAGGGUACUGGUAUUAAUACUACCAGCUACUGGACGUUACUCGCAGAAUAAGCACCGGCUAACUCUGUGCCAGCAGCCGCGGUAAUACAGAGGGUGCAAGCGUUAAUCGGAAUUACUGGGCGUAAAGCGCGCGUAGGUGGUUCGUUAAGUUGAAUGUGAAAGCCCCGGGCUAAACCUGGGAACUGCAUCCAAAACUGGCGAGCUAGAGUAGGGCAGAGGGUGGUGGAAUUUCCUGUGUAGCGGUGAAAUGCGUAGAUAUAGGAAGGAACACCAGUGGCGAAGGCGACCACCUGGGCUCAUACUGACACUGAGGUGCGAAAGCGUGGGGAGCAAACAGG